UCUCAUUCCAGUAUUAUUGAGAAUCAUGAAUAAUCAACCAAUGUUUCUGUAAUGAGCAUUUAUUGAUCCUUAGGGUUACCAGAUAGAUGUUUUUAUAGGUAUGUCAUUUAUGCUCCAAGCAGCCACAGCAAGUAUUCAGGGGAGUCAUUUCCAGGAGUUUCUAACGCUCUGUUUGAUAUUGAAAGGAAAGUGGACCCAUGCGAGGCUAAGGGAGAAGUGAAGAGAAAGCUUUGUUGCAACCUUCACUGUGCAGGCAGCUUCAGAGGCUUUGAAACAAGAAGCCU
rnacentral:lncRNA from 10 species